rnacentral:rRNA from 1 species
CCUACGGGAGGCAGCAGUGAGGAAUAUUGGUCAAUGGGCGCGAGCCUGAACCAGCCAAGUAGCGUGAAGGAUGACUGCCCUACGGGUUGUAAACUUCUUUUAUAAAGGAAUAAAGUGAGGCACGUGUGCCUUUUUGUAUGUACUUUAUGAAUAAGGAUCGGCUAACUCCGUGCCAGAAGCCGCGGUAAGACGGAGUAACCGGGCGUUAUCCGGAUUUAUUGGGUUUAAAGGGAGCGUAGAUGGGUUUUUAAAGCAGUUGGGAAAGUUUGCGGCUCAACCGUAAAAUUGCAAGUGAUACUGGCAGUCUUGAGUACAGUUGAGGUAGGCGGAAUUCGUGGUGUAGCGGUGAAAUGCUUAGAUAUCACGAAGAACUCCGAUUGCGAAGGCAGCUUACUAAACUGCCACUGACAUUGAUGCUCGAAAGUGUGGGUAUCAAACAGGAGUAGAUACCCCAGUAGUC